UACGUAGGGUGCGAGCGUUGUCCGGAAUUACUGGGCGUAAAGAGCUCGUAGGUGGUUUGUCGCGUUGUUCGUGAAAUCUCACGGCUUAACUGUGAGCGUGCGGGCGAUACGGGCAGACUAGAGUACUGCAGGGGAGACUGGAAUUCCUGGUGUAGCGGUGGAAUGCGCGGAUAUCAGGAGGAACACCGGUGGCGAAGGCGGGUCUCUGGGCAGUAACUGACGCUGAGGCGCGGAAGCGUGGGGAGCGAACAGG
rnacentral:rRNA from 1 species